UACAGAGGUCUCAAGCGUUGUUCGGAUUCAUUGGGCGUAAAGGGUGUGUAGGUGGCGCUGUAAGUCGGGUGUGAAAUUUCGGAGCUUAACUCCGAAACUGCAUUCGAUACUGCGGUGCUUGAGGACUGGAGAGGAGACUGGAAUUCAUGGUGUAGCAGUGAAAUGCGUAGAGAUCAUGAGGAAGACCAGUGGCGAAGGCGGGUCUCUGGACAGUUCCUGACGCUGAGGCACGAAGGUCAGGGGAGCAAACGGG
rnacentral:rRNA from 1 species